rnacentral:rRNA from 1 species
ACGGGAGGCAGCAGUGAGGAAUAUUGGUCAAUGGACGGAAGUCUGAACCAGCCAAGUCGCGUGCGGGAUGAAGGCCCUACGGGUCGUAAACCGCUUUUGUACGGGGAUAAAGUCACCCACGUGUGGGUGUUUGUAGGUACCGUAAGAAUAAGGAUCGGCUAACUCCGUGCCAGCAGCCGCGGUAAUACGGAGGAUCCGAGCGUUAUCCGGAUUUAUUGGGUUUAAAGGGUGCGCAGGCGGGCUGCUAAGUCUCCGGUGAAAUGUCAGGGCUCAACCUUGGCACUGCCGGAGAUACUGGCGGCCUUGAGAGUGGCGGAGGUAUCCGGAAUGUGUGGUGUAGCGGUGAAAUGCAUAGAUAUUAGGAGGAACACCAGUGGCGAAGGCGGCUUACUGGACUGUAACUGACGUUGAGGCUCGAAAGCGUGGGGAGCAAACAGGAUUAGAUACCCUGGUA